rnacentral:rRNA from 1 species
UGGGGAAUAUUGCACAAUGGGCGCAAGCCUGAUGCAGCCAUGCCGCGUGUGUGAAGAAGGCCUUCGGGUUGUAAAGCACUUUCAGCGGGGAGGAAGGCGAUAAGGUUAAUAACCUUGGCAAUUGACGUUACCGACAGAAGAAGCACCGGCUAACUCCGUGCCAGCAGCCGCGGUAAUACGGAGGGUGCAAGCGUUAAUCGGAAUUACUGGGCGUAAAGCGCACGCAGGCGGUUGAUUGAGUCAGAUGUGAAAUCCCCGGGCUUAACCCGGGAAUUGCAUCUGAUACUGAUCAACUAGAGUCUUGUAGAGGGGGGUAGAAUUCCAUGUGUAGCGGUGAAAUGCAUAGAGAUGUGGAGGAAUACCGGUGGCGAAGACGGCCCCCUGGACAAAAACUGACGAUCAGGUGCGAAAGCGUGGGGAGCAAACAGG